CUUUAUGGCGGCUGUGCGUGGGAGACCUUCGGGUCUACCGGUUGCCUUGAUUGCCGGUUUCUCACCCCGCGCACAGCUGUCACCCAA
rnacentral:antisense_RNA from 1 species